rnacentral:snoRNA from 1 species
UCCCUCUCAGGGUCGGACCUGGAGAGUUUCCAGUGCUCUACCAGUCUCAACUACGGGAGAGAGAGUCAAGCAGAGGCCUGUCUAUUCCAUUCCCAGCUUGGGCAGUGGCUAGCGAGUGGAAGGCAAUCUGCUACAAGU